rnacentral:rRNA from 1 species
AAAUUGAAGAGUUUGAUCAUGGCUCAGAUUGAACGCUGGCGGCAGGCCUAACACAUGCAAGUCGAACGGUAACAGGAAGCAGCUUGCUGCUUCGCUGACGAGUGGCGGACGGUGAGUAAUGUCUGGGAAACUGCCUGAUGGAGGGGAUAACUACUGGAAACGGUGGCUAAUACCGCAUAACGUCGCAAGACCAAUGAGGCGGACCUUCGGGCCUCUUGCCAUCAGAUGUGCCCAGAUGGGAUUAGCUUGUUGGUGAGGUAACGGCUCACCAAGGCGACGAUCCCUAGCUGGUCUGAGAGGAUGACCAGCCACACUGGAACUGAGACACGGUCCAGACUCCUACGGGAGGCAGCAGUGGGGAAUAUUGCACAAUGGGCGCAAGCCUGAUGCAGCCAUGCCGCGUGUAUGAAGAAGGCCUUCGGGUUGUAAAGUACUUUCAGCGGGGAGGAAGGUGUUGUGGUUAAUAACCGCAGCAAUUGACGUUACCCGCAGAAGAAGCACCGGCUAACUCCGUGCCAGCAGCCGCGGUAAUACGGAGGGUGCAAGCGUUAAUCGGAAUUACUGGGCGUAAAGCGCACGCAGGCGGUCUGUCAAGUCGGAUGUGAAAUCCCCGGGCUCAACCUGGGAACUGCAUUCGAAACUGGCAGGCUUGAGUCUUGUAGAGGGGGGUAGAAUUCCAGGUGUAGCGGUGAAAUGCGUAGAGAUCUGGAGGAAUACCGGUGGCGAAGGCGGCCCCCUGGACAAAGACUGACGCUCAGGUGCGAAAGCGUGGGGAGCAAACAGGAUUAGAUACCCUGGUAGUCCACGCCGUAAACGAUGUCUACUUGGAGGUUGUGCCCUUGAGGCGUGGCUUCCGGAGCUAACGCGUUAAGUAGACCGCCUGGGGAGUACGGCCGCAAGGUUAAAACUCAAAUGAAUUGACGGGGGCCCGCACAAGCGGUGGAGCAUGUGGUUUAAUUCGAUGCAACGCGAAGAACCUUUACCCGUCUUGACAUCCACAGAAGAAUCCAGAGAUGGAUUUGUGCCUUCGGGAACUGUGAGACAGGUGCUGCAUGGCUGUCGUCAGCUCGUGUUGUGAAAUGUUGGGUUAAGUCCCGCAACGAGCGCAACCCUUAUCCUUUUGUUGCCAGCGAUUAGGUCGGGAACUCAAAGGAGACUGCCAGUGAUAAACUGGAGGAAGGUAGCGGGGAUGACGUCAAGUCAUCAUGGCCCUUACGACCGUGGCUACACACGUGCUACAAUGGCGCAUACAAAGAGAAGCGACCUCGCGAGAGCAAGCGGACCUCAUAAAAAGUGCGUCGUAGUCCGGAUUGAGUCUGCAACUCGACUCCAUGAAGUCGGUAUCGCUAGUAAUCGUGGAUCAGAAUGCCACGGUGAAUACGUUCCCGGCCUUGUACACACCGCCCGUCACACCAUGGGAGUGGGUUGCAAAAGAAGUAGGUAGCUUAACCUUCGGGAGGGCGCUUACCACUUUGUGAUUCAUGACUGGGGUGACGUCGUAACAAGGUAACCGUAGGGGAACCUGCGGUUGAUCACCUCCUUACCUUAAAGAA